AUUGAACGCUGGCGGCAGGCCUAACACAUGCAAGUCGAGCGCGCGGCGGACGGGUGAGGAAUGUCUGGGAAACUGCCCGAUGGAGGGGGAUAACUAUGGGAAACGGGAGCUAAAAUAGCAUAUGAUCUGAUGUGUCCAGAUGGGAUUAGCUAGUAGGUGGGGUAACGGCUCACAUAGGCGACGCUCCCUAGCUGGUCUGAGAGGAUGACCAGCCACACUGGAACUGAGACACGGUCCAGACUCCUACGGGAGGCAGCAGUGGGGAAUAUGGCACAAUGGGCGCAAGCCUGAUGCAGCCAUGCCGCGUGUGUGAAGAAGGCCUUCGGGUUGUAAAGCACUUUCAGCGGGGAGGCGUUACCCGCAGAAGAAGCACCGGCUAACUCCGUGCCAGCAGCCGCGGUAAUAC
rnacentral:rRNA from 1 species